rnacentral:rRNA from 1 species
AGGCUAAAUACUCCUGAUUGACCGAUAGUGAACCAGUACCGUAAGGGAAAGGCGAAAAGAACCCCGGCGAGGGGAGUGAAAAAGAACCUGAAACCGUGUACGUACAAGCAGUAGGAGCCUCUUUAUGGGGUGACUGCGUACCUUUUGUAUAAUGGGUCAGCGACUUAUAUUCUGUAGCAAGGUUAACCGUAUAGGGGAGCCGUAGGGAAACCGAGUCUUAACUGGGCGAAUGAGUUGCAGGGUAUAGACCCGAAACCCGGUGAUCUAUCCAUGGGCAGGUUGAAGGUUGGGUAACACUAACUGGAG